rnacentral:rRNA from 1 species
AUUGAACGCUGGCGGCAUGCUUUACACAUGCAAGUCGAACGGUAACAGGGUGCUUGCACCGCUGACGAGUGGCGAACGGGUGAGUAAUGCGUCGGAACGUGCCGAGUAAUGGGGGAUAACGCAUCGAAAGGUGUGCUAAUACCGCAUACGCUCUGAGGAGGAAAGCUGGGGAUCGAAAGACCUGGCGUUAUUCGAGCGGCCGACGUCUGAUUAGCUAGUUGGUGAGGUAAAGGCUCACCAAGGCGACGAUCAGUAGCGGGUCUGAGAGGAUGAUCCGCCACACUGGGACUGAGACACGGCCCAGACUCCUACGGGAGGCAGCAGUGGGGAAUUUUGGACAAUGGGGGCAACCCUGAUCCAGCCAUGCCGCGUGUCUGAAGAAGGCCUCGGUGUAAGGACGUUUAGUUAGGUA